CAGGGCUGGACACAGAGGCAGCACUGAGAUGCAGUGAAUCCCUGAGGUCUCAGGGGAGCAGUCCUCGUGCCCCCAACCCGGCAGGUGCCCCUCUGUUCACUAAGGGACAGGAGACUAGAAGCCCAGCAAGGAGCCUCCAUUCCAGGGGUCGUUCCACGGAGCACCCUCCGGGAGAGACACAGAGCACCCUCGGAGACAGAGAUGGUGCUCCCACAGAAGCACCCAUCCACCCAGCCCGUCUCCACCAGCCCUAGAAGUAUCUAUCCACACAGCCCGUCUCCACCACCCCUAGAAGUAUCUAUCCACACAGCCCGUCUCCACCAGCCCUAGACGUAUCUGUCCACACAGCCCGUCUCCACCACCCCUAGAAAUAUCUACCCACACAGCCCGUCUCCACCAGCCCUAGAAGUAUUUAUCCACACAGCCUGUCUCCACCACCCCUAGAAGUUAUCUAUCCACACAGCCCGUCUCCACCACCCCUAGAAGUUAUCUAUCCACUCAGCCCUUCUCCACCUGCCCUAGAAGCUCCCAGGGCUGCACCAGGGAGACCUAGAGUCAAGGCACCGGCCCUGGGUGCCCCAUAACACACAGGCCCAGGCUUUCCUCCAGAACUCGGAGAUGACUCAGGCCUUCAAGGAGUCCAAGAGGGCUGCCCCGUCCUCUCCCUCAACACUCUCGGCUCUGCUGAGGCCCCGCGUGAGGACCCUCCAUCACUGGGGGACUCACCAGCUUCUGGAAGAGGUGGCCCAUGGUGACCUGGCUGUCCCACUGUUGCACCUUGGGGCACAGGUUGUCGUAGAACUCCUUGUGGAUUUCGUAGAUGUCCUGGAUCUUGUAGAAGAUGGUCUCGAUCUGCUGGAUGGACCCCACAGAGGAGCCUACGUCGCCACAAAGUCCCCAAAUCCAUGAAUUCUUGUCCCUGCCUUGGUGCAGUCCCCAUUGAGGAGGGAACAGGGAAGCAGGAAGGCAACAGUCCCAGGAAGGCCAAGGAGACAGGAUUUCUCAGAAGCCGCCGAGGACGCACUCGUCUGCCACCCACGCAAAGACAAGACACAAUGGUUCUGCUUCCUUCUAAACUUCCCACCCUGUCUGCAAAAGGGGAAGAAAUGGACGCUCACCCACAGCCAGUCACAAGGACGGGGCCUGUGUUUGGGGCAUCAGAUGGUUCUCAUGACACGAUGGGGACCUUGGCUCUUACUUCUGAUUUCACUUGGUGGGAGGGGACAGGGCUGCGUGUGUGUCCUUUGCUGGCCAGGACCCUUGAGGCCGUUAUUUUUCUCUGGUGAAGUCCCACACAUGGGCUCGGGGCAGGAGGGUGGACUGAAAGGCACGGUGACCCACACUGAGCUUUGGCACGGCACAGCCGUUCUGCCAAAGUGCUAGCACACCACUCAGGCACCCCCUCCUCCCCAGUCCUGCUGCAGAGGCAAGGGCAGGCCCCGGCUCUGCAUUUCACCAUGAGAGUUCUCGGACAGGACCCCGCGUGACCUCCACCCUGGCUCCCAGCCCAGCUGCUUCUCAGGAAGACGGGCCCGGGCCGGUUCUCACUUGCCAGUGGGACUUCACACAGCCGUUUGUCCGCGGUCCCACAGCGACUGGCCUUUCGAAAUAGGGGAAAGAAAUGUACCCACUUCCUCCACCUCCUGCCCCAGAAGGCCUGGCAUGCUUGCUGCCAUGCCACCCUAGUUACUCGUCACUGGAGCCCAGGGAGGAAGGCGUCAUUCACCUGUUUCAUAGAUAAAGAGGCUGCGAUACAGCCUGGCUAUGAGCCAAAACGCACGGCCACAAGGACAGUCCGCCCCAGGAGGGCCCAUCGUGGCCAGCGGUGGGAGGGGCUGUGGGGAGUGGCCUCACCCUGUGGCCCUGGCAUAGCAAGACAGUUCCCAAGCUCAGUUCCCAGCAUCAAGGAGAUCCAGAAUUUCAAUGCA